GGCAGGUACUGUAGCUCUCUGCAACUCUCACAUGGUCGCCCACUGAAGCUAAGCAGGGUUGCACCUGGUCAGUACCUGGAUGGAAGACCACAUGGGAAAGUUAGGUUGCUGCCA
rnacentral:rRNA from 1 species